UACGUAGGGUGCAAGCGUUGUCCGGAAUUAUUGGGCGUAAAGAGCUCGUAGGCGGUUUGUCGCGUCUGCUGUGAAAGACCGGGGCUCAACUCCGGUUCUGCAGUGGGUACGGGCAGACUAGAGUGCAGUAGGGGAGACUGGAAUUCCUGGUGUAGCGGUGAAAUGCGCAGAUAUCAGGAGGAACACCGAUGGCGAAGGCAGGUCUCUGGGCUGUAACUGACGCUGAGGAGCGAAAGCAUGGGGGAGCGAACAGG
rnacentral:rRNA from 1 species